AAGCGGGAGAUUGUGGGUU
rnacentral:siRNA from 1 species